rnacentral:rRNA from 1 species
AUUGAACGCUGGCGGCAUGCCUUACACAUGCAAGUCGAACGGCAGCACGGGUGCUUGCCCCUGGUGGCGAGUGGCGAACGGGUGAGUAAUACAUCGGAACAUGUCCUGUAGUGGGGGAUAGCCCGUCGAAAGCCGGAUUAAUACCGCAUACGAUCUACUGAUGAAAGCGGGGGCCCUUCGGGCCUCGCGCUAUAGGGUUGGCCGAUGGCUGAUUAGCUAGUUGGUGGGGUAAAGGCCUACCAAGGCGACGAUCAGUAGCUGGUCUGAGAGGACGACCAGCCACACUGGGACUGAGACACGGCCCAGACUCCUACGGGAGGCAGCAGUGGGGAAUUUUGGACAAUGGGCGAAAGCCUGAUCCAGCAAUGCCGCGUGUGUGAAGAAGGCCUUCGGGUUGUAAAGCACUUUUGUCAGGAAAGAAAUCAUUGGCCCUAAUACGGUCGGGGGAUGACGGUACCGGAAGAAUAAGCACCGGCUAACUACGUG